AAACCAGCACCUCAAGUGGUCAGGAUGAUUAUUGGGCCUAAAGCAUCCGUAGCCGGCUCUGUAAGUUUUCGGUUAAAUCUGUACGCUUAACGUACAGGCUGCCGAGAAUACUGCAGAGCUAGGGAGUGGGAGAGGUAGACGGUACUCGGGAGGAAGUGGUAAAAUGCUUUGAUCUCUCGAUGACCACCUGUGGCGAAGGCGGUCUACCAGAACACGUCCGACGGUGAGGGAUGAAAGCUGGGGGAGCAAACCGGAUUAGAAACCCGAGUAGUCC
rnacentral:rRNA from 1 species